GCCCCUCCUGACGCUCUCAGAGUCUGGCCUUCUGCUGGGCCCCGGGUCUCUCACUGGCAGAAUGGAGUUCUCGGAGCUGAUCCAUACGGGCUGAGCCCAAGCAGAGUUUCUACGGGGCCCGGAGGCGCCCCCGCUUCGCGGCACGGUGUGAGUCACCGUCCACCACCUGCUCCUGUCGCCAGGGCCCGCGUCCUCUCCGGACCUGUGGCUGCUGCUGUUGCGUAGCGUCGACUCCUUCGAGAAGCAGUUCUGCUACGCUCCAGCCAGCCCCUAACUGGUCCCCAGAAGCGGCGCUGCUACAGGGACCAGGAGCUGCUGCGAACUGCGCUGGCGGGGGCUCGUCCUUGGGCGCGGGGCUUCAUCAUGGACACGCUCUCGGCCCAGGCCGCGAAACAAGCCCGCGUGACUGGCGGAGGCACAGAGACCAAGGCCGCUUAACCUGGCUGGUUGCACUGGUCCCUGGAGAGCACUGAGCACAGGGGCUGCCACAGUGGCCGGCUCAGACAUGGCAGAGAUCAGCAGAGAAUGGGCAAUCAGGCUCCCCUGAGAUGAGCAGCAGCGCAGAGGAGGUGCCCCUCUCUUACUACACCAACUUCAGGAUUCUGUGUCUCCCUCAUUGGUCUUGAGCACUUGCUCCCUGGCUGUACUUGGCAAGGGCUUGAGCUGGAAAAGAUGACCAGACUCCCACCGCCCAGAGGGCGUCCCCUGCAGGAGAGCUUCAUGCGCCUGGUGGAGGCCUGUGGGGACUCGGAGCAAAGCAUGGACAACUGGCUGAGUCGGCUGGACGGCUGCCGCUGACUGUAACAUGUAAAGCAGGCACUGAGCACCACCUGCCUGGCAGUCCAGGGCAUGGAGAGGCACAGACAGCACCCUGCUUGUGACUUCACUGGCCCAACUCAUCCUGGACCCCUUGAGCAAGACCAUGGCUGGAUUCCAGGAACUGGUGGAGUGGAAGUGGAUCCAGGAAAAUGCCGUGUGAAGGGAGGACUCAGAUGCACUCCCUGUGGUCUGGGCUCAACCAGCCAAAAGAGCAACAAAGACUCCAGAACCCACUCUACCUCCUCAAUCCCUUGGCCAUCUGUGGAGCCCCAGAGCCUGCGGCUGUGGCAAGGCCUGUUUCUGCGCUGGACCUGCUCACCUGAGCCUGCAGAAGCUGCAUGGGGGAAGAGUGUGGCAAAUAGUGACAGGAAGGGAGAAGACAGAAGCCUCUCAGCCAACUGCUUCAGCCGAGCCCCUAUUCUAAGCACUGGCUCCUUGGAUAGCAGCUGAGAUGUUCCUGAAACCUCUGCAGGCCCCUUAGGACCUUUACACCUUGGAUGAGGGUGCCUGCAACCCAGGUUAGCCAAAAGUACUGAGGGUCUUAAGUUUGAAGUGUCCAAAGUAUAGGGAGGUCUCAAUAAUAAAAGUCUCCAUGAUCAGCA
rnacentral:lncRNA from 1 species